UACAUGGGGUGCAAACGUUGCUCGGAAUUAUUGGGCGUAAAGCGCGCGUAGGCGGUUACUCAAGUCGGAUGUGAAAGCCCUCGGCUUAACUGAGGAAGUGCACCCGAAACUGAGUAGCUAGAGUACUAAAAAGGGUCGCGGAAUUCCCGGUGUAGAGGUGAAAUUCGUAGAUAUCGGGAGGAACACCGGUGGCGAAGGCGGCGACCUGGGUAGAUACUGACGCUGAGGCGGCGAAAA
rnacentral:rRNA from 1 species